rnacentral:rRNA from 1 species
ACCAGCAGCCAUAUCACCCUGCAAUUCACAGCUGGCAGCCCCACUGAAGCUCAGCAGGUGUGAGCCUGGCCAGUACCUGGAUGAGAGACCUCCUGGAAAGCUAUGGUUGCUGUUGGAA